rnacentral:rRNA from 1 species
AGCAGCCGCGGUAAUUCCAGCUCCAAUAGCGUAUAUUAAAGUUGUUGCAGUUAAAAAGCUCGUAGUUGAAUUUCGGAAUCAAUAUGUUGGUCGUGCCAUUGGUACGCACUGGCAUUAUUGGUUUCUACCUUCUGAAGAACCUCGAUGUCAUUAAUUUGGUGUCUUGGGGAAUCAGGACUGUUACUUUGAAAAAAUUAGAGUGUUUAAAGCAAGCUCGCGCUUGAAUACAUUAGCAUGGAAUAAUGAAAUAGGACGUUUGAUUCUAUUUUGUUGGUUUCUAGGAUUGACGUAAUGAUUAAUAGGGAUAGUUGGGGGCAUUAGUAUUCAAUUGUCAGAGGUGAAAUUCUUGGAUUUAUUGAAGACUAACUACUGCGAAAGCAUUUGCCAAGGAUGUUUUCAUUAAUCAAGAACGAAAGUUAGGGGAUCGAAGACGAUCAGAUACCGUCCUAGUCUCAACCAUAAACGAUGCCGACUAGGGAUCGGCGGAUGUUGCUUUUAGGACUCCGCCGGCA